GACGAACGCUGGCGGCGUGCCUAAUACAUGCAAGUUGAGCGCUGAAGGUUGGUACUUGUACCAACUGGAUGAGCAGCGAACGGGUGAGUAACGCGUGGGGAAUCUGCCUUUGAGCGGGGGACAACAUUUGGAAACGAAUGCUAAUACCGCAUAAAAACUUUAAACACAAGUUUUAAGUUUGAAAGAUGCAAUUGCAUCACUCAAAGAUGAUCCCGCGUUGUAUUAGCUAGUUGGUGAGGUAAAGGCUCACCAAGGCGAUGAUACAUAGCCGACCUGAGAGGGUGAUCGGGCACAUUGGGACUGAGACACGGCCCAAACUGCUACGGGAGGCAGCAGGAGGGAAUCUUCGGCAAUGGACGAAAGUCUGAACGAGCAACGCCGCGUGAGUGAAGAAGGGUUUCGGAUCGUAAAACUCUGUUGGUAGAGAAGAACGUUGGUGAGAGUGGAAAGCUCAUCAAGUGACGGUAACUACCCAGAAAGGGACGGCUAACUACGUG
rnacentral:rRNA from 1 species